AGAGGUACCGAAGGACUCAUUCAAUAUUUGAAUGAUCUCUUCUAGCUGUGCAUCCUCGAACUAAUGGCUAAGUUUGUCGUUCAUAGCUGCCCUCAUCAUGCAAUGCACAGUCGUGCGAUCAUUGAGCCACUUUAUGUAAAUAUCUCUCACAGCAUGAGGAGCAUUGGUUGUAGGUUUUUCAGGUGCCUCAUCUGUAAGGACAUAUAAAA
rnacentral:lncRNA from 1 species